AGGGUUUCCACCCUCCUGACCCCGGACCGAGCGCCUCCUCCACGCGGUCUCCUCCGGCCAUCAUCUGCUCCCCAGCUCCGCCGCCGCCGCCGUGAUUAACUCGUCUGCUUUUUCUCUAGGCCGGUCAGGAAGAAGAUGCUUAUCCAUCGACGCGGCAAAAGACUGAAAAUCUGCGUACCUAGCGAAAAUUUGGUGCGGGUCAACGCUCACGAGGAGGAGUUCGGCAGCGCGAGUGAGUCCGGCGGAGGCGUUUGGAGACUACUCAGCAAAGAGGUCGCAGAGCACAUAGAUGACAGCGUCAUAUCGGUCGCUACGUUCCA